rnacentral:tRNA from 2 species
GCCACCGAGUCGACCAACCUCGCUCGUAAAGCGGGUGUCGCAGGUUCGAAUCCUGCCGGGGGCA